rnacentral:rRNA from 1 species
GACGGAGGGUGCUAGCGUUGUUCGGAAUUACUGGGCGUAAAGCGCGCGUAGGUGGUUUGUUAAGUUGAAUGUGAAAUCCCCGGGCUCAACCUGGGAACUGCAUGCAAAACUGGCAAGCUAGAGUAUGGUAGAGGGUGGUGGAAUUUCCUGUGUAGCGGUGAAAUGCGUAGAUAUAGGAAGGAACACCAGUGGCGAAGGCGACCACCUGGACUGAUACUGACACUGAGGUGCGAAAGCGUGGGGAGCAAACAGG